GGCGAACGCUGGCGGCAGGCCUAAUACAUGCAAGUCGAGCGAUCGGCCGCGGGGAGCUUGCUCCCUGCGGUACGGAGCGGCGAACGGGUGAGUAACACGUGGGUAACCUGCCUCGAGGACGGGGAUAACUCCGGGAAACUGGGGCUAAUACCCGAUAUGCUCACGGCACCGCAUGGUGACGGGAGGAAAUGGGUUUCCGCCUCGAGAGGGGCCCGCGGCCUAUCAGCUAGUUGGUGGGGUAACGGCCCACCAAGGCUAUGACGGGUAGCCGGCCUGA
rnacentral:rRNA from 1 species